rnacentral:rRNA from 1 species
CACUAUCGUUAACUGAAUACAUAGGUUAACGAGGCGAACCGGGGGAACUGAAACAUCUAAGUACCCCGAGGAAAAGAAAUCAACCGAGAUUCCCCCAGUAGCGGCGAGCGAACGGGGAGCAGCCCAGAGUCUGAAUCAGCUUGUGUGUUAGUGGAACGGUCUGGAAAGUCCGACGGUACAGGGUGAUAGUCCCGUACACCAAAAUGCACAGGUUGUGAACUCGAAGAGUAGGGCGGGACACGUGGUAUCCUGUCUGAAUAUGGGGGGACCAUCCUCCAAGGCUAAAUACUCCUGACUGACCGAUAGUGAACCAGUACCGUGAGGGAAAGGCGAAAAGAACCCCGGCGAGGGGAGUGAAAAAGAACCUGAAACCGUGUACGUACAAGCAGUGGGAGCACCUUCGGGUGUGACUGCGUACCUUUUGUAUAAUGGGUCAGCGACUUAUAUUCUGUAGCAAGGUUAACCGUAUAGGGGAGCCGCAGGGAAACCGAGUCUUAACUGGGCGUUAAGUUGCAGGGUAUAGACCCGAAACCCGGUGAUCUAGCCAUGGGCAGGUUGAAGGUUGGGUAACACUAACUGGAGGACCGAACCGACUAAUGUUGAAAAAUUAGCGGAUGACUUGUGGCUGGGGGUGAAAGGCCAAUCAAACCGGGAGAUAGCUGGUUCUCCCCGAAAGCUAUUUAGGUAGCGCCUCGUGAAUUCAUCUUCGGGGGUAGAGCACUGUUUCGGCUAGGGGGUCAUCCCGACUUACCAACCCGAUGCAAACUACGAAUACCGAAGAAUGUUAUCACGGGAGACACACGGCGGGUGCUAACGUCCGUCGUGAAGAGGGAAACAACCCAGACCGCCAGCUAAGGUCCCAAAGUCAUGGUUAAGUGGGAAACGAUGUGGGAAGGCACAGACAGCCAGGAUGUUGGCUUAGAAGCAGCCAUCAUUUAAAGAAAGCGUAAUAGCUCACUGGUCGAGUCGGCCUGCGCGGAAGAUGUAACGGGGCUAAACCAUGCACCGAAGCUGCGGCAGCGACACUAUGUGUUGUUGGGUAGGGGAGCGUUCUGUAAGCCUGCGAAGGUGUGCUGUGAGGCAUGCUGGAGGUAUCAGAAGUGCGAAUGCUGACAUAAGUAACGAUAAAGCGGGUGAAAAGCCCGCUCGCCGGAAGACCAAGGGUUCCUGUCCAACGUUAAUCGGGGCAGGGUGAGUCGACCCCUAAGGCGAGGCCGAAAGGCGUAGUCGAUGGGAAACAGGUUAAUAUUCCUGUACUUGGUGUUACUGCGAAGGGGGGACGGAGAAGGCUAUGUUAGCCGGGCGACGGUUGUCCCGGUUUAAGCAUGUAGGCUGGUUGUCCAGGCAAAUCCGGAUAAUCAAGGCUGAGGUGUGAUGACGAGGCACUACGGUGCUGAAGUAACAAAUGCCCUGCUUCCAGGAAAAGCCUCUAAGCAUCAGGUAACAUCAAAUCGUACCCCAAACCGACACAGGUGGUCAGGUAGAGAAUACCAAGGCGCUUGAGAGAACUCGGGUGAAGGAACUAGGCAAAAUGGUGCCGUAACUUCGGGAGAAGGCACGCUGGUGUGUAGGUGAAGUCCCUGCGGAUGGAGCUGAGACCAGUCGAAGAUACCAGCUGGCUGCAACUGUUUAUUAAAAACACAGCACUGUGCAAACACGAAAGUGGACGUAUACGGUGUGACGCCUGCCCGGUGCCGGAAGGUUAAUUGAUGGGGUUAUCCGUAAGGAGAAGCUCUUGAUCGAAGCCCCGGUAAACGGCGGCCGUAACUAUAACGGUCCUAAGGUAGCGAAAUUCCUUGUCGGGUAAGUUCCGACCUGCACGAAUGGCGUAAUGAUGGCCAGGCUGUCUCCACCCGAGACUCAGUGAAAUUGAACUCGCUGUGAAGAUGCAGUGUACCCGCGGCAAGACGGAAAGACCCCGUGAACCUUUACUAUAGCUUGACACUGAACAUUGAGCCUUGAUGUGUAGGAUAGGUGGGAGGCUUUGAAGCGUGGACGCCAGUCUGCGUGGAGCCAACCUUGAAAUACCACCCUUUAAUGUUUGAUGUUCUAACGUUGGCCCCUGACCGGGGUUGCGGACAGUGUCUGGUGGGUAGUUUGACUGGGGCGGUCUCCUCCCAAAGCGUAACGGAGGAGCACGAAGGUUAGCUAAUCCUGGUCGGACAUCAGGAGGUUAGUGCAAUGGCAUAAGCUAGCUUGACUGCGAGCGUGACGGCGCGAGCAGGUGCGAAAGCAGGUCAUAGUGAUCCGGUGGUUCUGAAUGGAAGGGCCAUCGCUCAACGGAUAAAAGGUACUCCGGGGAUAACAGGCUGAUACCGCCCAAGAGUUCAUAUCGACGGCGGUGUUUGGCACCUCGAUGUCGGCUCAUCACAUCCUGGGGCUGAAGUAGGUCCCAAGGGUAUGGCUGUUCGCCAUUUAAAGUGGUACGCGAGCUGGGUUUAGAACGUCGUGAGACAGUUCGGUCCCUAUCUGCCGUGGGCGCUGGAGAAUUGAGGGGGGCUGCUCCUAGUACGAGAGGACCGGAGUGGACGCAUCACUGGUGUUCGGGUUGUCAUGCCAAUGGCACUGCCCGGUAGCUAAAUGCGGAAGAGAUAAGUGCUGAAAGCAUCUAAGCACGAAACUUGCCCCGAGAUGAGUUCUCCCUGAGACU